UAAUACGUAGGGGGCAAGCGUUGUCCGGAAUCAUUGGGCGUAAAGCGCGUGUAGGCGGCCAGGUAAGUCCGUUCUGAAAGCCCGGGGCUCAACCCCGGGAGGCGGAUGGAUACUGCUUGGCUCGAGUCCGGAAGAGGCGAGUGGAAUUCCCGGUGUAGCGGUGAAAUGCGCAGAUAUCGGGAGGAACACCAAUGGCGAAGGCAGCUCGCUGGGACGGUACUGACGCUGAGACGCGAAAGCGUGGGGAGCAAACAGGAUUAGAUACCCUGGUAGUCCACGCUGUAAACGAUGGUCACUAGGUGUGGGGGGUGUCGACUCCCUCCGUGCCGAAGCUAACGCAUUAAGUGACCCGCCUGGGGAGUACGGCCGCAAGGCUA
rnacentral:rRNA from 1 species